CUUGUUUACCUAUAAGAGGUCCAGCCUGCCCAGUGACUCUGUUCAACGGCCGCGGUAUCCUAACCGUGCGAAGGUAGCGUAAUCACUUGUUCUUUAAAUGAGGACUAGUAUGAAUGGCACCACGAAGGUUAUACUGUCUCCUCUCUCUAAUCAGUGAAACUAAUCUCCCCGUGAAGAAGCGGGGAUAAUCUUAUAAGACGAGAAGACCCUAUGGAGCUUUAAACUAAGAAUCAACUGCCUUUACCAUAUUUAAAUUCCAGAAGACUAACUUUUACCAAGACAUUCUGAUUUCUAGUUUUAGGUUGGGGUGACCACGGAGUAAAAACUAACCUCCGCAAUGAACAGGGAUCUUCCCUUAACCAAGGACCACAACCCCAAGAAUCAAUACAUUGACAUCAAUUGACCCAUUAAAC
rnacentral:rRNA from 1 species